rnacentral:rRNA from 1 species
GACGAACGCUGGCGGCGUGCUUAACACAUGCAAGUCGAACGGAAAGGCCCUGCUUUUGUGGGGUGCUCGAGUGGCGAACGGGUGAGUAACACGUGAGUAACCUGCCCUUGACUUUGGGAUAACUUCAGGAGACUGGGGCUAAUACCGGAUAGGAGCUCCUGCUGCAUGGUGGGGGUUGGAAAGUUUCGGCGGUUGGGGAUGGACUCGCGGCUUAUCAGCUUGUUGGUGGGGUAGUGGCUUACCAAGGCUUUGACGGGUAGCCGGCCUGAGAGGGUGACCGGCCACAUUGGGACUGAGAUACGGCCCAGACUCCUACGGGAGGCAGCAGUGGGGAAUAUUGCACAAUGGGCGGAAGCCUGAUGCAGCAACGCCGCGUGCGGGAUGACGGCCUUCGGGUUGUAAACCGCUUUCGCCUGUGACGAAGCGUGAGUGACGGUAAUGGGUAGAGAAGCACCGGCUAACUACGUG